rnacentral:rRNA from 1 species
UACGUAGGGUGCGAGCGUUGUCCGGAAUUAUUGGGCGUAAAGAGCUCGUAGGCGGUGUGUCACGUCGGCCGUGAAAACCUGCAGCUUAACUCCGGGCCUGCAGUGGGUACGGGCUGACUAGAGUGCGGUAGGGGAGACUGGAAUUCCUGGUGUAGCGGUGAAAUGCGCAGAUAUCAGGAGGAACACCGGUGGCGAAGGCGGGUCUCUGGGCCGUAACUGACGCUGAGGAGCGAAAGCGUGGGGAGCGAACAGG